rnacentral:rRNA from 1 species
UAGGGAAUCUUCGGCAAUGGACGGAAGUCUGACCGAGCAACGCCGCGUGAGUGAAGAAGGUUUUCGGAUCGUAAAGCUCUGUUGUAAGAGAAGAACGAGUGUGAGAGUGGAAAGUUCACACUGUGACGGUAUCUUACCAGAAAGGGACGGCUAACUACGUGCCAGCAGCCGCGGUAAUACGUAGGUCCCGAGCGUUGUCCGGAUUUAUUGGGCGUAAAGCGAGCGCAGGCGGUUAGAUAAGUCUGAAGUUAAAGGCUGUGGCUUAACCAUAGUACGCUUUGGAAACUGUUUAACUUGAGUGCAGAAGGGGAGAGUGGAAUUCCAUGUGUAGCGGUGAAAUGCGUAGAUAUAUGGAGGAACACCGGUGGCGAAAGCGGCUCUCUGGUCUGUAACUGACGCUGAGGCUCGAAAGCGUGGGGAGCAAACAGGAUUAGAUACCCUGGUAGUCCACGCCGUAAACGAUGAGUGCUAGGUGUUAGACCCUUUCCGGGGUUUAGUGCCGCAGCUAACGCAUUAAGCACUCCGCCUGGGGAGUACGACCGCAAGGUUG